rnacentral:rRNA from 1 species
UACGGAGGAUGCAAGCGUUAUCCGGAAUGAUUGGGCGUAAAGCGUCCGCAGGUGGCUAUGUAAGUCUGCUGUUAAAGAGUGAGGCUCAACCUCAUAAGAGCAGUGGAAACUACAUGGCUAGAGUGCGUUCGGGGCAGAGGGAAUUCCUGGUGUAGCGGUGAAAUGCGUAGAGAUCAGGAAGAACACCGGUGGCGAAGGCAGCCUCCUGGGCCAGCACUGACGCUCAUGCACGAAAGCGUGGGGAGCAAACAGG